UGCUACUGUGCAUUCUUUGUUUCAAACUGUCAGCGCCAUGCAUCCUCAGAUUCUCAGAUUCAUUAAACAACUAGAAGAAGAGACAGCCAAAUAUGAAGCCCUACAAGUUAAAGUGGGUCUUGUCCGCGAGACGCGCUCGUCUUUGGAUGAUCAGAUACUACCAUCUCAAAGCCAUCCGCAGUUUUCACGACAAACACAGUUAAUACAAGGCCACUCCUUCACAGUUAACCAACCCUUCACCAGCUCCGUUUUUACCUGAAGGGGUUGCGUCACAGCAUACCCAUCCAGCAUCAGAGCUCACAAAACCCAAACCGCAGACAUUUCAGUCUCCCGAGAUCAAUGGUUUUCCUUC